CUAAAAGAUCCAUUCACUUUUAAAGGGCGGGACUUACUCUUGCUCCAUUUUUCAACUUCAAGGAUGUACGCGAUUACGAUCAGUCAAAGACGUCAUUCUCGCUGUGUUCAGACAGAGGAGAGCGAGAUGAGCAGCAGCCGGCAGAAUACGGCAACAUCUUGCAGCAAUACAUCCUAACCCGCGCAAGACCCCGCCAGGAUGGCAGGACCCCAGGGAGCGGCGGAUGGUUAUGAUGAUGACCUAACAAGCGGUUGAAUCAAUGGUGUUAUCCUGCACACGACUCUCUCUCUUUAUAUCCCUCCACACCUCAACCUCACAUGCAACUUGCAACAGCAAGCAUGAGCCAUGGUUCAUUUUACUAUCUUUCUUCAUUAAAGUGAUAAUUCGGA